GACGAACGCUGGCGGCGUGCCUAAUACAUGCAAGUAGAACGCAGUUUCGAACGGGUGAGUAACGCGUAUGUAACUGCCUCAUAGCGGGGGAUCACUAUUGGAAACGAUAGCUAAUUCCGCAUACUGUGAGUUGGCCCUGCGUUGUAUUAGCUAGUUGGUGAGGUAAAGGCUCACCAAGGCGACGAUACAUAGCCGUACUGAGAGGGAGGGCGGCUAGACUGCGACAGAGACACGGCCAAGUCUCCUUAGGGAGGCAGCAGUAGGGAAUCGUUGCGAAUGGACGGAAGUCUGACCGAGCGACGGCGCGUGAGUGAAGAAGGUUUUCGGAUCGUAAAGCUCAGUUGUUAGAGAAGGGGUAACUAACCAGAAAGGGACGGCUAACUACGUGCCAGCAGCGGCGGUAAAAC
rnacentral:rRNA from 1 species